rnacentral:rRNA from 1 species
AUACGGAGGGUGCGAGCGUUGUUCGGAAUUAUUGGGCGUAAAGCGCGUGUAGGCGGUUUGUUAAGUCUGAUGUGAAAGCCCCGGGCUCAACCUGGGAAGUGCAUUGGAUACUGGCAGACUUGAAUACGGGAGAGGGCAGUGGAAUUCCUGGUGUAGGAGUGAAAUCCGUAGAUAUCAGGAGGAACACCGGUGGCGAAGGCGGCUGCCUGGAACGGACCUGACGGUGAGUAACGAAAGCCAGGGGCGC